AGGAAGGCUGGACGGACGCACUGCCCGUCUAACUGGUCAGGUCCGAAAGGAAGCAGCCAGGGCUGGUUUUGUGUGGGUCGACCAGUCUUCCGCUA
rnacentral:SRP_RNA from 1 species